rnacentral:rRNA from 1 species
AGUGAACGCUGGCGGUAGGCCUAACACAUGCAAGUCGAACGGCAGCACAGUAAGAGCUUGCUCUUACGGGUGGCGAGUGGCGGACGGGUGAGGAAUACAUCGGAAUCUACUUUUUCGUGGGGGAUAACGUAGGGAAACUUACGCUAAUACCGCAUACGACCUACGGGUGAAAGCAGGGGAUCUUCGGACCUUGCGCGAUUGAAUGAGCCGAUGUCGGAUUAGCUAGUUGGCGGGGUAAAGGCCCACCAAGGCGACGAUCCGUAGCUGGUCUGAGAGGAUGAUCGGCCACACUGGAACUGGAACACGGGCCAAACCCCCAGGGGGGGGAGGGGUGGGGAAUUUUGGAAAAUGGGCGAAAGCCUGAUCCGCCCAAACCGCGGGGGUGAAAAAGGCCUUCGGUUUGAAAAGCCCUUUUGUUGGGAAAGAAAAGAAGCAGGUUAAUCCCCCGCUGUUUUGACGGUACCAAAAGAAUAAGCACCGGCAAACUUCGG